UACUAAUGGCCAGUCUGAAAAAUGAGAUCAUUUCAGCAUUCUUUUGUGAAUAACAUCCUAUGAUUAGAGAACAGUCUCAUACGUUCUCUCUCAUUUGAUUCCAGAGGCAAGCGAGGGGUUAUUUAUCGAAGUAAUUUUUAUUCCCGUUUUGCAGAGGCAGAAUGUUCAGAGAGACUGCAGAGUCCAACCACAUCUCCUGGUUUCAAGUCUGGUCUUCCUGUCGUCCUACCUCACUGUCUCCUGCUGCAAAGGCUCUACGGGUAGAAGAUGAAUUGCAAACACCAACUUGAAAUGAAAAAAAAAAGAGAGAAGAAACUGAGCCCUGCUAC
rnacentral:lncRNA from 1 species